GUUUACUCCAAAAGGAGAUGAAGACUUAGAAGUUGUACGUGCUGGGCUUGGGGAAAGGCUGUUAAGUGUUCCAGACACCUUUAAACACAGUGAGAUUGUCACUCUGCUUGAGGAAGAAUUUCCUAAAUUAAAAAAUCUUCAGGGAGGCUGGAUGUUUUACAAAUCUACAGGAAUCAGUAAAUGAUGUGACUGUGCUUGAUGAUGAUGAUGAUGAUGAUGAUGAUGAUG